GACGAACGCUGGCGGCGUGCUUAACACAUGCAAGUCGAACGGAAAGGCCCGGCUUUUGUUGGGUUCUCGAGUGGCGAACGGGGGAGUAACACGUGAGUAACCUGCCCUUGUCUGUGUGAUAACUUCAGGAAACUGGGGCUAAUACCGGAUAUGAUCUACUGCUGCAUGGUGGGCGUUGGAAAGUGUCGGCGGUUGGGGAUGGACUCGCGGCUUAUCAGCUUGUUGGUGUGGUAGUUGCGUACCACGGUUUUGACGGGUAGCCGGCCUGAGAGGGUGACCGGGCACAAUGGGCCUGCGAUAGGCAGCAGAAUCGAACGGGAGGCAGUAGUGGGGAGUAUUGCGCAACGAGGGGGCGCCUGAUGCAGAAGUGCCGCGUGCGGAAUGCCGGCCUUCGGGUUGUAAACAGAUUUCGAAUGAGACGAGGAGUGCGUGACGGUAAUGGGUCAAGAAGCCCCGGCUAACUACGUG
rnacentral:rRNA from 1 species